rnacentral:rRNA from 1 species
GACGAACGCUGGCGGCGUGCUUAACACAUGCAAGUCGAACGGAAAGGCCUGCUUUCCCUUGUGGAUUGCGGGUACUCGCGUGGCGAACGGGUGAGUAACACGUGAGUGAUCUGCCCCCAACUUGGGUAUAAGCCUGGGAAACUGGGUCUAAUUCCCGAUAGGACUGCAGGGUGGUGCCUGUGGUGGAAAACGAUUUUCUAGUGGUUGGGGAUGAGCUCGCGGCCUAUCAGCUUGUUGGUGGGGUAAUGGCCUACCAAGGCGGCGACGGGUAGCCGGCCUGGGAGGGUGGACGGCCACAUUGGGACUGGGAUACGGCCCAGACUCCUACGGGAGGCAGCAGUGGGGAAUAUUGCACCAUGGGCGGAAGCCUGAUGCAGCGACGCCGCGUGGGGGAUGACGGCCUUCGGGUUGUAAACUCCUUUCGACCGCGAGGAAGCCACCUGGUUGGAAGGGUGGUGACGGUAGUGGUAGAAGAAGCACCGGCUAACUACGUG